UGAUAUGUUUUCUCAGGUGUGUGUGUGUGGUGUCUGCAGAUAUGAUUUCUCAGGUGUGUGUGGGUGUGUGUGUCUGAGCGAUCUGCUUUCUCAGGUGUGUGUGUGUGUAUACAGCGAUGCUUUCUCAGGUGUGUGUGUGGUAUACAGCGAUAGCUUUCUCAGGGUGUGUGUGUUCAGCAUAGUUUCUCAGGUGUGGUGUUGUAUACAGCGGUAUGCUUUCUCAGGUGUGUGUGUGUUACAGCAUAUGCUUUCUCAGGGUGUGUGUUGAUACAGCGGUAUGCUUUCUCAGGUGUGUGUGUGUGUGUUACAGCAGAUAUGCUUUCUCAGGUGUGUGUGUUGUAUACACGAUUGCUUUCUCAGGUGUGUGUGUGUAUACAGCGAUAUGCUUUCUCAGGUGUGUGUGUGUGUGUAUACAGCAGUCUGCUUUCUCAGCCCUGGGUCAGACUGAGUGGAGGUUACAAGAAGAGCAGAACAGUCAGGAAGUGAGACUGAUAUCACCAUAGUAAGUAGUGU
rnacentral:lncRNA from 1 species